CGCAAUGUUACAAUCCUCUGCUCAAUGACAGACAUGUAUCACUGUAAGAGCAAGGGAGAAAAAUGUUUUACUGAUGAUCAACAGCAGCAGUUCAAGAUAGCGACAGUGAUGAAGAAUUGGAAAUGAAGCUAAGAAAAACUGACAUCACCACUAGAGCUGUGGACAGGCAGGACAGAUCACAGGAUUUAGCAUUGAAACGUCAUGUAGACGUAAGUGACAGGCAGUUACAGAGGAGGACAGAUGCUGAAAGGCAACGCAACAAAAAACGACAGAGAGAAAAAUUAAGGUAACCCAGCCACUCACCUUUUAUAGCAGAGUAAAUUACCCACUAUAAAAAGUGCAAAACCUU
rnacentral:lncRNA from 1 species